CUCUCGGCAAUGGAUAUCUCGGCUCUUGCAUCGAUGAAGAACGUAGUGAAAUGCGAUACUUGGUGUGAAUUGCAGAAUCUCGUGAACCAUUGAGUCUUUGAACGCAAGUUGUGCCCGAGGCCUUGUGGCCGAGGGCACGCCUGCUUGGGUGUCAUGGCAU
rnacentral:rRNA from 1 species